AAGUCGUAACAAGGUUUCCGUAGGUGAACCUGCGGAAGGAUCAUUAUUGAAACUCGAAGGGCCUGUUGGUUUGCCCUGCUCCGUUGUGAGCGGGCUGCCGCGGGUUCGUCCACCCCACACCCCUGUGCACCUUAUAGGGACGGUCCCGAUUUGCGUCGGGACUGGCCUUACUUACUACAAACUCAAAGUCGUAGAAUGUCUUGCGGGCUUUUGCCUGUCUAAAUGAAAAAACAACUUUCAACAACGGAUCUCUUGGCUCUC
rnacentral:misc_RNA from 1 species